UGGGAAUUAAAUAAGUGAAGAGAACUUUUUUGGAAAAAUAAAAUAAAAUGCCAUAUAUAAAUGAUCAGAGAAGGAAGUUGAGGGAUUGUGAAGUAUCUUUCUUUGCAUGAAAUAAGUUUGUCAAAACUGGAAAGAUUACUCUUGCAGGAUCCGGCGUAUAAUCACUUAUUUUCUCCUCUGAUUUUGUUAUGUGAAGGUGGGGUUCCUAAGGAAUCAACGCGAGAUCCUCUUGCCUUUUGCCUGGAUUUUAAGAGAUCUAGCUGUAAAAGGGAAAGCUCAAUAAUUUAAUAUUAUGUUGGGUUGAUUAACAAUAUAUGUAUAGAGUUAGUCAAGUUCAACUUCUACCCUAGGCCACCUACUAUGUAAACAAAUUCUAAUGUAUAGUUUAGAGAGUUAGAGAGAGAGAAAUAGGGCACCUUUAAUCAGAGUUGAUUGGUAAAAGUUGAUUGGAUCUCGUGAAGUAGAGUUUUUAGUUUGCUAGUUUCGAUGGAGGGGACGUUUGUUAGAUCUUGCUUGAAUUUCAUAGAAAAUUUUUACUGCUAUCAUUAUAGACUUUGUUUUCAUGUGAAGAUGGGACUUUUGGGAGAGAGAAAAAGAUAAGUUUAUACAAUUACAUAUAGCUUGAAGAACUCUUGGGAUGAACCCAUUAGCCCUUUUACUUUAAUGAUAAGGAA
rnacentral:lncRNA from 1 species